GUGUCAGCCGCCGCGGUAAUACGUAGGUGGCAAGCGUUGUCCGGAAUUACUGGGUGUAAAGGGCGUGUAGGCGGGGAUGCAAGUCAGAUGUGAAAUUCCGGGGCUCAACUCCGGCGCUGCAUCUGAAACUGUGUCUCUUGAGUGCUGGAGAGGAAAGUGGAAUUCCUAGUGUAGCGGUGAAAUGCGUAGAGAUUAGGAGGAACACCAGUGGCGAAGGCGGCUUUCUGGACAGUAACUGACGCUGAGGCGCGAAAGCGUGGGGAGCAAACAGGAUUAGAUACCCUGGUAGUCCACGCCGUAAACGAUGGAUACUAGGUGUAGGAGGUAUCGACCCCUUCUGUGCCGGAGUUAACACAAUAAGUAUCCCACCUGGGGAGUACGGCCGCAAGGUUGAAACUUAAAGGAAUUGACGGGG
rnacentral:rRNA from 1 species